rnacentral:rRNA from 1 species
GACAAUGGGCGAAACCCUGAUCCAGCCAUGCCGCGUGAGUGAAGAAGGCCUUCGGGUUGUAAAGCUCUUUUGUCAGGAAAGAAACGGUCGGUGCUAAUACAAUAAGCUAAUGACGGUACCUGAAGAAUAAGCACCGGCUAACUACGUGCCAGCAGCCGCGGUAAUACGUAGGGUGCAAGCGUUAAUCGGAAUUACUGGGCGUAAAGCGUGCGCAGGCGGUUUUGUAAGUCAGAUGUGAAAUCCCCGGGCUCAACCUGGGAACUGCAUUUGUGACUGCAAGGCUAGAGUGUGGCAGAG